CAAAUUUUCCUCUCCGUCCAAAUUGUUCCUCUCUUUUUCUCUCUGCUCCACCCUGUACCCGUAUAAAUUAAGCUAAUUUGAUCAGGUGUAUACUGCAAGCACUGGGGUCAUAUAACAAGCUCCCAACUGCUGCUCAUCAAUAAGCUUGAGUUAUGGGGGUCUCCAAUCAUGAUUCAACAGCCGUAAGGUUAGUUUUUGCUCUCUUUAAUUCCUGAUUGAAAGGAUAGUUUCUUUCUCAAACUCUCGGAACACUUUUUUUUCUAAAUUAUCUUAUUUUCAUUUAAGCUCAAUCACAUACAGUUGUCCCCAUCCAAUACACUGACGCCCAAAACGACAGCAACCACGCCAAAAUUCUACUAGAAACGACAGCCACACCCAUGACCACGCCCCAUACCCCCACGCCCACAACCACACAUCAUAUAUUUUCUACUA